UAUGGAUCUCUAUGGUGUCUCUACGGGGUUUGGGAUCACUGUAGGCUCUCUAUGGGGUCCCUAUGGGGUCUCUAUGGGGCUGGGGGUCUCUAUGGAUCUCUGUGGUGUCUCUACGGGGUUUGAGAUCUCUAUGGGGUCUCUAUGGGGCUGGGGGUCUCUAUGGAUCUCUAUGGCGUCUCUACGGGGUUUGGGGUCUCUAUGGGGUCUCUAUGGGGCUGGGGGUCUCUAUGGAUCUCUAUGGUGUCUCUACGGGGUUUGGGGUCUCUAUGGGGUCUCUAUGGGGCUGGGGGUCUCUAUGGAUCUCUAUGGUGUCUCUACGGGGUUUGGGGUCUCUAUGGGGUCUCUAUGGGGCUGGGGGUCUCUAUGGGGUUUGGGAUCUCUAUGGGGUCUACAUGGGGCUGGGAGGUCUCUGUGGGGUCUCCAUGGGGUCUCUAUGGGGUUUGGGAUCUCUAUGGGGUCUACAUGGGGCUGGGAGGUCUCUGUGGGGUCUCCAUGGGGUCCUCUAUGCGAGUCUAUGGUGUCUCCAUGGGGCUGAGAGGUCUCUAUAGGGUCUCCAUGGGAUCACUAUGAGGUCUCUAUGGGGUCUCUAUGGGCAUCUAUGGGGUCUCUAUGAGGCUGAGAUGUCUCUAUGGGGUCUCCAUGGGGUCUCUGUGAGGCUGGGGGUCUCUAUGGGGUCUCUAUGUGGUCCCUAUGGGGCUGAGAGGUCUCUAUGGGGUCUCCAUGGGGCUGAGGGGUCUCUAUGGAGUCUCCAUGGGGUCUCUAUGGG
rnacentral:lncRNA from 1 species